rnacentral:tRNA from 1 species
GGCAUUGUGGCUCAGAGGUAGUGCGCUCACCUAGCAAGUGCGAGGCCCUGGGUUCAAUCCUCAGCACCA